rfam:Ciona savignyi cont_30526, whole genome shotgun sequence.
GCGUGCAUUUAUCAGACCAAAAACCGCCCGCGUCUUCGGGCGCGUUCGCCUUGGUGACUCUGGAUAACUUUGCGGAUCGCACGGUCUAGCACCGGCGACGGAUCAUUCAAGUGUCUGCCCUAUCAACUUUCGUCGGUACGGUAUUUGCCUACCGAGGUUCUUACGGGUGACGGGGAAUCAGGGUUCGAUUCCGGAGAGGGAGCCUGAGAAACGGCUACCACAUCCAAGGAAGGCAGCAGGCGCGCAAAUUACCCAUUCCCGACGCGGGGAGGUAGUGACGAAAAAUAACAAUGCAGGACUCGUUCGAGGCCCUGUAAUUGGAAUGAGUACACUUUAAAAGCUUUAACGAGUAUCCAUUGGAGGGCAAGUCUGGUGCCAGCAGCCGCGGUAAUUCCAGCUCCAAAAGUAUAUAUUUAAGUUGUUGCGGUUAAAAAGCUCGUAGUUGGAUUUUGGGCGCAGGCGGCCGGUCCGUCGCAAGGCGUGUACUGGACGUCCUGGCCUUCCCUCCGGUUCUCCGCCGGUGCUCUUGACUGAUUCACAACGGCGGCCGGAACGUUUACUUUGAAAAAAUUAGAGUGUUCAAAGCAGGCUCUCGAGCCUGGAUAAUGGUGCAUGGAAUAAUGGAAUAGGACCUCGGUUCUAUUUUGUUGGUUUUCGGAGCGCGAGGUAAUGAUUAAGAGGGACAGACGGGGGCAUUCGUACUGUGCCGUUAGAGGUGAAAUUCUUGGAUCGGCGCAAGACGAACGACUGCGAAAGCAUUUGCCAAGAAUGUUUUCUUUAAUCAAGAGCGAAAGUCAGAGGUUCGAAGACGAUCAGAUACCGUCCUAGUUCUGACUAUAAACGAUGCCAACUAGCGAUCGGGGGGCGUUACAUUGACGACCCCUCCGGCAGCUUACGGGAAACCAAAGUCUUUGGGUUCCGGGGGAAGUAUGGUUGCAAAGCUGAAACUUAAAGGAAUUGACGGAAGGGCACCACCAGGAGUGGAGCCUGCGGCUUAAUUUGACUCAACACGGGAAAUCUCACCCGGCCCGGACACAGUGAGGAUUGACAGAUUGAGAGCUCUUUCUUGAUUCUGUGGGUGGUGGUGCAUGGCCGUUCUUAGUUGGUGGAGCGAUUUGUCUGGUUAAUUCCGAUAACGAACGAGACUCUGGCUUGCUAAAUAGUUACGCGACCAUCCCGGUCGGCGUUUAACUUCUUAGAGGGACAAGUG